rnacentral:rRNA from 1 species
AACGAACGCUGGCGGCGCGCCUAAUACAUGCAAGUCGAGCGAGAAGACGUAGCAAUACGUUUGUAAAGCGGCGAACGGGUGAGGAAUACAUGGGUAACCUACCCUCGAGUGGGGAAGUAACUAGCCGAAAGGUUAGCUAAUACCGCGUACGCUCCUUGGACUUCGGUUCAGGGAGGAAAGCGAUACCGUGGGUAUCGCGCUCUUGGAUGGGCUCAUGUCCUAUCAGCUUGUUGGUGAGGUAACGGGCUCACCAAGGCUUCGACGGGUAGCUGGUCUGAGAGGACGAUCAGCCACACUGGCACUGCGACACGGGCCAGACUCCUACGGGAGGCAGCAGUAAGGAAUAUUGCGCAAUGGGCGAAAGCCUGACGCAGCGACGCCGCGUGGGGGGAGUGAAGGGUAC